rnacentral:rRNA from 1 species
GACGGAAGGUGCAAGCGUUGCUCGGAAUCACUGGGCGUAAAGGGUGCGUAGGCGGCCGUGCAAGUCUGGCGUGAAAGCCCCGGGCUCAGCCCGGGAAGUGCGCUCGAAACUGCGCGGCUCGAGUGCCGGAGGGGAGAGUGGAAUUCCUGGUGUAGCAGUGAAAUGCGUAGAUAUCAGGAGGAAUACCGAUGGCGAAGGCAGGUCUCUGGGCUGACACUGACGCUCAUGCACGAAAGCGUGGGGAGCAAACAGG